AGAGUUUGAUCCUGGCUCAGGACGAACGCUGGCGGCACGCUUAACACAUGCAAGUCGAACGAGAGAAGAGGAGCUUGCUUUUCUGAUCUAGUGGCGGACGGGUGAGUAACACGUGAGCAAUCUGCCUUUCAGAGGGGGAUACCGAUUGGAAACGAUCGUUAAUACCGCAUAACAUAAUUGAACCGCAUGAUUUGAUUAUCAAAGAUUUAUCGCUGAAAGAUGAGCUCGCGUCUGAUUAGCUAGUUGGUAAGGUAACGGCUUACCAAGGCGACGAUCAGUAGCCGGACUGAGAGGUUGAUCGGCCACAUUGGGACUGAGACACGGCCCAGACUCCUACGGGAGGCAGCAGUGGGGAAUAUUGCACAAUGGAGGAAACUCUGAUGCAGCGAUGCCGCGUGAGGGAAGAAGGUUUUAGGAUUGUAAACCUCUGUCUUCAGGGACGAAAAAAGACGGUACCUGAGGAGGAAGCUCCGGCUAACUACGUGCCAGCAGCCGCGGUAAUACGUAGGGAGCGAGCGUUGUCCGGAAUUACUGGGUGUAAAGGGAGCGUAGGCGGGAUCGCAAGUCAGAUGUGAAAACUAUGGGCUUAACCCAUAAACUGCAUUUGAAACUGUGGUUCUUGAGUGAAGUAGAGGUAAGCGGAAUUCCUAGUGUAGCGGUGAAAUGCGUAGAUAUUAGGAGGAACAUCAGUGGCGAAGGCGGCUUACUGGGCUUUAACUGACGCUGAGGCUCGAAAGCGUGGGGAGCAAACAGGAUUAGAUACCCUGGUAGUCCACGCCGUAAACGAUUAUUACUAGGUGUGGGGGGACUGACCCCUUCCGUGCCGCAGCAAACGCAAUAAGUAAUCCACCUGGGGAGUACGACCGCAAGGUUGAAACUCAAAGGAAUUGACGGGGGCCCGCACAAGCAGUGGAGUAUGUGGAUUAAUUCGAAGCAACGCGAAGAACCUUACCAGGUCUUGACAUCGUAUGCAUAGCUCAGAGAUGAGUGAAAUCUCUUCGGAGACAUAUAGACAGGUGGUGCAUGGUUGUCGUCAGCUCGUGUCGUGAGAUGUUGGGUUAAGUCCCGCAACGAGCGCAACCCUUACUGUUAGUUGCUACGCAAGUGCACUCUAGCAGGACUGCCGUUGACAAAACGGAGGAAGGUGGGGAUGACGUCAAAUCAUCAUGCCCCUUAUGACCUGGGCCUCACACGUACUACAAUGGCUGUCAACAGAGGGAAGCAAAGCCGCGAGGUGGAGCGAACCCCUAAAAGCAGUCUUAGUUCGGAUUGUAGGCUGCAACCCGCCUACAUGAAGUCGGAAUUGCUAGUAAUCGCAGAUCAGCAUGCUGCGGUGAAUACGUUUCCGGGCCUUGUACACACCGCCCGUCACGCCAUGGGAGUCGGUAACACCCGAAGCCUGUAGUCUAACCGCAAGGAGGACGCAGUCGAAGGUGGGAUUGAUGACUGGGGUGAAGUCGUAACAAGGUA
rnacentral:rRNA from 1 species